rnacentral:rRNA from 1 species
AUGCUGGCAACAGUCUCCUUGAAUGUGCAGGUACUUGACAAACGAAUUGGACAUAUCGACGGCAAGCCGCCGACUUGCAACUUGGCUUACAAGGCUAUUUGGAGCGACAAGCCUAUCGACUACUUCGCUCCGGCCAUUUGGAAAAAUUAUCCACCCAACAAAUGCAGAAUUUUUCUAUGGCUCGCAAGUAAAAAUCGACUCUUCACCAACGAAAGACGCUUCAACAGGGGCAUAUCUGACUCCAACUGCUGCCCGUUCUGUCCAGCCACUGAAUCAACGAGUCAUCUAUUCCUUCAAUGCCCCGAUCUUCGCCCUCUUUGGCAGGAACUGAGCUCUCUUUCUGCUUCAGUACCGUUGGACUUUCAGCAUCUUUGGGGCAUGGACCUGGCCAACAGACCACGAUCAACGGUCAUCAUUGCUAUUCUCUGGAAUAUCUGGAAAAGAAGAAAUGCAAAAGUUUUUAGGCAGGAUUUGCAACCUAUCCGCCUCAACGCCCGCUUAGCUGCAAAUGACCUCAUGCCUUGGUCCAACAGAUGCUCCAAUGAGCAGGCCGUGAACCUUCUAUGUGAUUGGUGUACUAUGUUGUUCCACUUAUCUAUGAGAUUGUAA